UUUUUUUUUUUUUUUUUUUUUUUUUUUUUUUGUCUUUUUGCUAUUUCUUUGGGCCACUCCCACAGCAUAUGGAGGUUCCCAGGCUAGGGGUCGAAUUGGAGCUGUAGCCCCUGGCCUACGCCAGAGCCACAGCAAUGCAGGAUCCGAGCCGCAUCUGCAACCUACACCACAGCUCAGGGCAAUGCCGGAUCGCUAACCCGCUGAGCAAGGGCAGGGACCGAACCCGCAACCUCAUGGUUCCUAGUCGGAUUCAUUAACCACUGCGCCACGACGGGAACUCCAAAAGAAAGAGCAAUCUUACUAAUUCUUGAGGUCCAGGAACUUGGUCAUGAAAUUCAUAUUCCCAGGUGACAGGAAGUUGAGGCCAUUAAAUAUAUCUGAAAUUUUUUUAUUACUCAAUUUUAUUACAUUUAUAGUUUUGUACAACGGUUAUCACAAUGCAAUUUUAGAGCAUUUCCAUCCCAAACCCCCAGCCCAUCCCCCCAAAGCCCAUCCCCCCCCACUCCCAACCUGUCUCCUUUGGAAACCGUAAGUUUUUCAAAGUCUGUGAGUCAGUAUCUGUUCUGCAAAGAAGUUCAUUUUGUCCUUUUUUUAGAUUCCUCAUGUAAGUGAUAGCAUAUGAUGUUGGUGUCUGUCUAACUUCACUUAGCAUGAUAAUUUCUAGGUUCAUCUAUGUUGCAGCAAAUGUCAUUAUUUCUUUCAUUUUAAUGGCUGAGUAAUAUUCCACUGUGUAUAUGUAUCACUACUUCUUUAUCCACUCCUCUGUCGAUGGACAUUUAGGUUGUUUCCAUGUCUUGGCUAUUGCAAACAGUGCUGGAAUGAACCUUAGAGUACAUGUAUCCUUUCGAGUUAUGAUUUUCUCUGACUAGGUGCCCAGGAGUGGGAUUGCUGGAACCAAAUGGUAAUUCAAUUUUACAUUUUCUGUGGAAUAUCCAUACAGUUUUCCACAGUGGUUGCACCAAUUUACAUUCCCACCAACAGUGUAAGAAGGUUCCCUUUUAUCCACACCCUCUCCAGCAUUUGUUUGUAGACUUUUUGAUAAUGGCCAUUCUGGCUGGUGUAAGGUGGUAACUCAGAGUGGUUUCGAUUUGCAUUUCUCUAAUAAUGAGUCAUGUUGAAUAUCUUUUCAUGUAUUUUUUUGCCACCUGCAUGUCUUUUUUGGAGAAUUAUCUGUUUAGAUUUUCUGCCCAUUUUUUUUGAUGGGAUUGUUUUUUUUGGUAUUGAGCUGAAGAAGGUGUUCAUAAAUUCUGGAGAUGAAUCCCUUAUCAGUCGUUUCAUUUGCAAAUAUUUUCUCCCAUUCUGUGGGUUGUCUUUUCCUUUCAUUUAGGGUUUCCUUGGCUGUGCAUUAUUUUUAAGUCCCAUUUGUUUAUAUUUUUAUUGUCAUUACACUAGGAGGUUGAUCUGACAAGAUGUUGCUGUGGUUUAUGUCGGAGUGUUUGGCCUAUGUUUUCCUCUAAGAGUUUUAUAGUAUCUGGUCUUAUAUUUAGUUCUUUAAUCUAUUUUGAGUUUGUUUUUGUGUGUAUGGUGUUAGGAAGUGUUCUAACAUCUUGUUUUUUAUAUAUGGCUGUCCAGUUUUCCCAGAACCAUUUAUUGAAGGGGAUAUAUUUUUUCCACUGUAUAUUCUUGCCUCCUUUGUCAUAGAUUAGUUGACUGUAGCAUUGGUUUAAUUCAAGGCUUUCUAUCCUGUUCCACUGAUUUAUAUUUCUCUCUUUGUGCCAGUACCAUAUGGUUUUGAUGACGGUAGCUUUGUAGAAUAGUCUAAGGUCAGGGGGCCUGAUUCCUACAGCUCCAUUUUUCUUUCUCAGGAUGGCUUUGGCUAUUUCUGGGUCUUUCGUGCUUCCAAAGAAUUUUUUAAAUAUUCUGUUCUGGUUCUGUGAAAAAUGUCCUUGGUAAUUUGAUAGGGAUUACAUUGAAUCUGCAGAUUGCCUUGGGCAGUAUAUUCAUUUCGGUAAUAUUGACUCUUCCAAUUCAAUAGCAUGGUGUGUCUUUCCAUCUGUCUGUGUCAUCUUUGGCUUCUUGCAUCAGCAUCUUAUAUUUUUUUAGAGUACAGGUGUUUUGUCUCUUUAGAUAGGUUUAUUCCUAAGUAUUUUAUUCUUUAUGAUUCAAUGGUAAAUGGGAUUGUUUCCCUAAUUUCUCUUUCUGAUCUUUCAUUGUUGGUAUAUAAAAUGCAGUCGAUUUCUAUUUAUUAAUUUUGUAUCCUGCGACUUUCCCAAAUUCAUGGAUGCACUCUAACAGGUUUUGGUUAAAUCCAGCGUCAAGUACAACAUGACUUCUGACUUGACACUUCACACACCUUUUACUUCUUCAGUUCUACCACACAGGAGAAAAGCAUAUAUCCACCUUUAGCUGGCAAACACCAAUUUUUACUUUAAAAAAAAAUCACCACAAAGAGAGAAUUGACUAGUAUAAAGUUCAUCACACAUAUUCAGUGGGGGGAGCUUCCUGAGAUGGGGUCUUUCCACACUUCUCCCAAAUUUAAUAAAUGCCAUGAGAGUCAAGAUAAUUAUUUUGGGAUUUAUUCUUAAUGUAAUUAAUUAAAGUCUAUGAGCUGUUAUCAGACUUGACAAUAACAUCUCAGAUUUGUUCCAGUUGCUAAAAUGCUGAUGGGAGUUCACGGCUGUGUUUGACUCCUUGGGCACACACAGAAGGGCUUAUGAGGAAUGAAUUCUGGAUGAGCCACCAGCUCUGUGGAUGUGUGCAGGAGUUGAUGGAAUGUGAUGGGGGAAGUGUGAUCUCUGCCAAUUGCUAUAACAUUGUCUUCUUCCUGCUAGUAAGAAUCUAAAUAAAUAGACGUUACAUGCUCCAAGUGAAAGGACUAUAACCUACAGACUGCAGUGCUUCUGGUCCAUCUCAGUCAAUAUAGUUUGGCUAUGUCAGGCACCAAGGACACACAAACCUUAUCUUCUCAGAUGGAGCAAUAUAGUUGGAGGAGACAGAGAGAUUCAACAUUUUCUUGGCCCUAUAGCCCUUACUGUUAAUGCCUCUGAUCCAAGAAAGCAGCAAGUGCUACACCUCCAAAGCAUGUGUUUGACACAUGGCAAAUGCUCAAUAACUACAGGUUGGUUGAAUGAAGGAGCAAAUGGAUAGAUAGAUGAGUGAAUGAAUAAAUGAAUGAUUCUGAAAUUGCAUGCUACCAAAAUACAGAUGAGGAAGCUUUUUAGUCAUUGGUAAAGGCUGAAACCCAAAAGCAUUCAUGAUGCUUGCAAUUGGCAGACCCUGUGACACCUUUCACUCCAAGGUUCAAAUACAUUGUCCCAGACCACACCCCCACUUAAGACCCCAUGUAAAAUCACCCUUUCUUUUUAUUCAUUGACUUGGGUUGGCAGGACCAUGAACCUCACUCCCUUAUGUAUUAUGAAUUCAAAUGAAGAAAAAUUAUUUUCUGUUCUGAAAAAAGAUGAGAUUCUUAAGAGUUAGGUUACAGUGAAUCUAAGAGUCAAAAUUUCUGAAAAUCUACAAAGGGAAUGAUAUUCAGUAGUUGACUUCUUAGUGCAGUACACCAGAAGUUUCCUCCAUGCUGUUUUAAAUUUCAUACUCACCUAAGUGCAGUACUAAUGAGAAAAUAUCAAAGAUGAAUUUGAAUAUAUGUAAAUAGGUUAGCCAUUCCUAAUCUACCCUUCACCUUCUGAAAAAGGUGCCCUAUCUUUCUUUAUUGGUAUCUGGAAAUGGCCAGACUCUGGUACAACUCAGAUGUACCACACCAUUUCUCAAAUGUAGUUUUGCGCAAAAAUAGAAUCAUGAUGUAGCAAUCCAGGUGAGUGACACUGACAUCAGGAUCCUCACUCUGGCCAUCAAAGCCAGGCACCCACCCAGAUGAACCAACUCUCCAACUCACCCUCUCCCAAAUGACUGAUCUAACAGUUCAAACAAAGUGCAAUGAACUAGAAUGUUCAGGGUGUUUGUGUUCCUGACGCUACCUGGUUAACUCAACCCCACUCUGCCCCACUGACUUUCUCUAACAUGGUUUAGGAACCAGCUGUUUGAAUAUAGCUUCUCUCUCAUCUUAUUUUCUUUUUUAAUACUGUAAACUAAAUUCAAAAAUAUUUUUACCUUUAAAAAGUAACAUUGACAUAGAAACAAGCUUUGCACUUUAUCUUCAAAGUAAACAUCUGUUAAUUACUCCAGUGCUGGAGCUAAAAAAAAAUUCAGAUUGUGUGAGGACUGUACCGGUUUAAUAAAACAAGACAGAAAAACAGCCAACAUGAUAGCGCCAUUAGACUGAUUGUUUCUGUAGAUACACAGAAUAUAUGAAUAAUAAUGUUUCCUUUAACUCGCUGACUUAAAGGCACAACCAAAUAGUGUAUUUCUGAUUAAUCCAGGGCCCAGUCCACAGGCACAUAUGCAGAGUUCUGAUAAAAGUGAAGAAAGAUGUGUUUCCAUGUCAACAAUUUAAAGGUUGGAACUAUUUUGAGUUGUUAAUAUAAACUUUGAUAUUAGCUCACUGACUUUGACGGUUUUGCAAAGAAUAAAUUCAAACACAAUCACAAUGACUGCUGAAAUGUAUUAAAUCUCUAGAGAAGGUAGAAAAAUGUGUAUGCCUGACAGGUUUGUCAAUCACUUUUGCUCUGAUUAUGUGACAUUAGCAUGUGAUUUUUGUUAACUAGAAAAAUGACAGCGUAGUAUUUCAUAACAGCCCCAAAAUAUUCUAUUACUCUUAUUAUGUUCCUCUUGUGUCUUUAUAUAAUGACCAAAAAAAUAAGGAAAAAGCCCAGCAACUACAUCUUGAAGCAUCAUACCAUCUCUCAACUUACUAACAUUCAAAAAUUACAUCAUCAUUAGCAUAACUACAGGCAAGAAUAAUUUUGGCAGUAGUUAAAGAGUCAUGAUUAUUCUGUCCCUGGAUGUUAUCCCAACAACCACUAUUUUCUUUGUUUGGGACUCCUUACUCAAAGACAAAUGGACACAAUCAUUUCACAUCAGGACUCAUGUAUUUUCAACAGGAAGAAC
rnacentral:lncRNA from 1 species